rfam:Acyrthosiphon pisum strain LSR1 Contig10330, whole genome shotgun sequence.
AAAACGGUCCUUCUCAGGACCAACAAAUAAAUGGACAAAUAACG